AUACAUAGGGGGCGAGCGUUGUCCGGAAUGACUGGGCGUAAAGGGAGCGUAGGCGGUCAUGCAAGUUAUAUGUGAAAGCCCGGGGCUUAACCUCGGAACUGCAUGUAAAACUGCAUGGCUAGAGUGUGGGAGAGGAAAGUGGAAUUCCUAGUGUAGCGGUGGAAUGCGUAGAUAUUAGGAGGAACACCAGUGGCGAAGGCGGCUUUCUGGACCACAACUGACGCUGAGGCUCGAAAGCGUGGGGAGCAAACAGGAUUAGAUACCCUGGUAGUCCACGCCGUAAACGAUGGAUACUAGACGCAGGAGGUAUCGACUCCUACUGUGUCUGAAGCUAACGCAAUAAGUAUCCCGCCUGGGGAGUACGGCCGCAAGGUUGAA
rnacentral:rRNA from 1 species